AUUGAACGCUGGCGGCGUGCCUAACACAUGCAAGUCGAGCGGUAACAGGUGUAGCAAUACAUGCUGACGAGCGGCGGACGGGUGAGUAACGCUUGGGAAUCUGCCUAUUAGUGGGGGACAACCCGGGGAAACUCGGGCUAAUACCGCAUACGCACUACGGUGGAAAGCCGGGGACCGCAAGGCCUGGCGCUAACAGAUGAGCCCAAGUCGGAUUAGCUAGUUGGUAGGGUAACGGCCACCAAGGCGACGAUCCGUAACUGGUCUGAGAGGACGACCAGUCACACCGGAACUGAGACACGGUCCGGACUCCUACGGGAGGCAGCAGUGGGGAAUAUUGGACAAUGGGCGAAAGCCUGAUCCAGCGACGCCGCGUGGGUGAAGAAGGCCUGCGGGUUGUAAAGCCCUUUCAGUGGGGAAGAAAGCCUCGAGCUAACACCUCGGGGUCUUGACGUAACCCAUAGAAGAAGCACCGGCUAACUCUGUGCCAGCCGCCGCCGUAAU
rnacentral:rRNA from 1 species